UCCUACGGGAGGCAGCAGUGGGGAAUAUUGGUCAAUGGGCGCAAGCCUGAACCAGCAAUGCCGCGUGAGUGAUGAAGGCCUUCGGGUUGUAAAGCUCUGUCGGGGGGGAAGAAAAAGCCUGUUUCAUCGCAGGUCUUGACGGUACCCUCAAAGGAAGCACCGGCUAACUCUGUGCCAGCAGCCGCGGUAAUACAGAGGGUGCAAGCGUUGUUCGGAAUUACUGGGCGUAAAGCGCGUGUAGGCUGCUGCGUAAGUCAGAUGUGAAAGCCCUCGGCUUAACCGAGGAAGUGCAUCUGAUACUGCGCAGCUCGAGUGCCGGAGGGGAUGGCGGAAUUCCCGGUGUAGAGGUGAAAUUCGUAGAUAUCGGGAGGAACACCUGUGGCGAAGGCGGCCAUCUGGACGGUGACUGACGCUGAGACGCGAAAGCGUGGGUAGCAAACAGGAUUAGAUACCCCUGUAGUC
rnacentral:rRNA from 1 species